UACGUAGGACCAAGCGUUGUUCGGAUUUACUGGGCGUAAAGGGCGCGUAGGCGGCUUAACAAGUCACUUGUGAAAUCUCCGGGCUUAACUCGGAACGGCCAAGGUGAAACUGUUCAAGCUAGAGUGCAGAAGGGGCAAUCGGAAUUCUUGGUGUAGCGGUGAAAUGCGUAGAUAUCAAGAGGAACACCUGAGGUGAAGACGGGUUGCUGGGCUGACACUGACUGAGGCGCGAAAGCCAGGGAGCAAACGGG
rnacentral:rRNA from 1 species